AGAGGGUAGAAUGGUCAUCUUGUUAAAUAUUGCGCGCGAGCGGAAGCACGUACUUCCGAGUUUGAGCCCUGUUUCGCUACCUGUACUAUGGUUUAGUUUUCAUUCAGCUCCUCGCAUUUUGCGUAUGAUCGCAUCGCACUGAGGUGAGGACAUAUUGUUCAAGAACUUCCAUGAAUUAUUAGCAGAAGAGUGGGUUAGAGGGGGCUCGGACAGUGGUCAGAAUGGACGGUGGAAAAUUGCAUUGACAAAGUCUUCUGAGAGGGUUGAUGACGCUUUCAAGGACAAGACUCUAGCACCCUACUCGGUUGGAUCUACAGCUUUGAUUCUUCUUCUGUCAGUUUGCCAGAUUAUUGUUGCCAACUGUGGCGACUCAAUGCUCUGUCGUCAGAGUCAAGCCAUCCCCUUGACGGUUGACCAAAAGAUUAGUAGGCCAGAAGAAUAUGAUAGACUGGUUAAGGGAGGAGUGAGGAUUCUGUUUGUGGGCUUCCCUAGGGUCGUAGGAGUAUUGACUAUGACCAGGGCAAUAGGACUGAAGAAGACGAGUGUUUGAUUCUGGCUAGUGAUGGAGUAUGGGUUAUCUUGUCUAAUGAUGAUGUGAUGAAGAGGCUUGCAGCAUACUGAGGAGGCAACGCAGAAAGUUGGCGUUUGGUGGAGCUCAUGAUGCAAUUUAUCCAGCACAAUAUGCUGCAAAUCAAAUCCGCAAGGUGUUCAGUCAUUUGAGUGGUGACAACAUCUCAGUUUCUGUAAUUGACCUAAAGCACCAAAUCAAGGAGCGCCAACCUGAAUGGUAAACGUAGUAUCGACAUACAGGUUGGCUGGGCAGAAGUAUGUGAUCUUUUCUAUAAACUGGACAUACACUUGAGCUGUAGUUAAAUAAUUAUACAAACUCUGCAGCUCCUUUACCUUAUCUAUUCUAGUUUGUUAGAGAGGCUUGCCGUGUAUUUUUCUAUAUACCUAGUUUCAACCCUGUAUACUAUAUUUGCAUGCAAUUAUGCAUCUACCUUAACCAAGUUCUCUUCACCUUAGAAACCCCACUAACUACAAUGAAUUUGCCGAUUUCAUGAAACAAUUAGCAAACUUCUUACAUGGAACGUGUGUAAUCAAUAUAUGUAUAUAAGUGACGCCAUACAUAGUUUCAAGUCAUUGGGUGUUAAAUUUUUUGUCUAACUUUGGCUCUACUCAGAUGAAUGGGUAGUACUGGGAUUCUUUCUGUUUUAGGUUACUACGAGGACUUGGAUGGGCUUAUUUGGAUAACACUUUGGCGAAUGGAGAUAAAGCUACCCAUAGUGGAGAAUGCUGCUUUCAAUAAUUUCGUAUUUCCAAGGAACGGAUUCUUAUGAGGAUGAACAGAAUUGAUGCUGCAAAGGAGGAAUAUCUGUGUAAAGCUCACUGAGAAAGCAACCUUAAAGGGGUCUUAGCAGUGCAACAUUUGUAAUACGCCUCAGAGAAUCUAGAGGGCAUGUCCUGUAGGAGUGUUUGCAAGUUCGAUUUGAGACAGUAUUUUGUAGGCUUUCGGAGUGCAUAUGAUAAGAGGUCUUGUUUGGAGGGAGGUGGUGUUCUUUCAUCCUCCCUCAUAAGCUAGGGGUAGAUCUCUAGUGUGUGCCUUAUUUUUUUUGUCGAAUGGAGGGUUUUGGGCAUUUGUGAUUGUAACUAAUUCUUUUGUUCUUAUUCAUUGGACUGAUUACUCUUUUUCUCUCUGGAGUCUUUUAUGUAAUUUUUGUAGGUAGUUAGCUUUGUAUUAUGACUCUUUUACUUUUGUUAUUAUAUAAUUAUUAUUUUCCUCUUAUGUUGUGUCUUUUAUCAGGAGUAUUUUUACGAUUUCUCCUUAUUCCUUUACACAAGAAUGACAUAAAUCUUUUAGUCGUUACAGAUUUAUGUGGUACUCUAAUGAACAACCGGAAAGAUUGAUAAUACAAGUAAGAGAUUGAUUACUGUCCAGGGUGGGAUUCUUAUCGACAUAGGAGGGACAGUGAUGGAAAAAGAGAAUCACAAUCUAUGCCACGAAAAAAAGGAAAAACAAAAAAUAUGAGUAUAUAUAUGUAAACACAUAGCCUUAUUCUGAUCCCACUUCACCCACCACACCCACACAUAUCGCUAGCUUUUUCCUGUUAACUCUUUUAACAAAGCAUUUGAUGUGACCAAGCAUUUGAGAAUGAGAAAGAGAGAGAGAGAGAGGGGUUGUGUGUGUAGCUCAGCUUCGAGAGAGAGCACUGCACAAACAUCUUUCUGCUGUACAUGCACUUCUUAUCUCACUUGGUAUAUUUGUGGCAGAGGAAUGUAAAGGUGGAAUCUCUUCCCCUGAACACUUGACAUUUCCCACUUUUUAACAUUACAUCUGUCUAAAAUUACAGGUGAGAUAUGGAAGAGUAAAAGACGUGACAAGGACCAUUGCCUGCAAACGUACUGAGCUUCUCAUGUCAAUCAUUGGUCUAUUUUUUAGGAGUCCCGAAUUUUGUACCCGCAGUUCCUGCAUGGUUUUAAACAGGGAUUUAUAACUUUCAAUUAAAAUGUGACCAAGUUGAUCCAAUUGUCAUCAAGUGUCUAGAGUUUCAGUGAAUUCUUUCUUCUAGUGACGUACUUCAUCUUCAAGAGAUUCUCCCAUUAACUGUAUCUAAAUCCAUGACAAAAACAGCGUGGUAAAACUUAGAUCAAAUUAUAAUUUCAAUGUGAUUUUUGAAUGUUUAAUAGUCCUAUAUUUUGAAAUUUUUAAAAAGUGUCUUCGUUCUUAAAUUUUUUAUUUUGUGUCUAAUAAAUCCAUGACAAAAACAGGUUAGGUAUAUAAAUUUAGUUUUAUAUGUUAUAUAUCAAUUUCUAAAUAUGUUGUAUAUGUUAAUGACUGAGUUGACACUAACUUUGUUUUACCUGGUAUGAAGAUUAGAAAUUUCUAUUUUAAAGAAGUAUUGGAUGUCAAUCACCAAUAAACUAGGUUAGAGUUUAAACUAUAUAUUAAUACGACAAGUGUGGGUUCAGGAUUUAAAUUUUUAAUUUCAAACGAAUUUUAGAUGUCUUUUAGCUAUUAAGUUAGCCUCGUAUUUGAUAUAAAGUGCGAUUAUAUGAAUGGAGAUUUUAAUUUCUAAGGCUGUGAACGAGUAGAUACCCUACCUCAACCCUUCUGCCCUACAACUAUGUUAGGUGUAACAUAUUCUUUGAUUUGAUAUUUCUCUCCACCACAGAAUAUCAUUUUCAUUUCCUUGGGUGGAUAGGUUCAUUUUGGAACGAUGACAGAAGGAGAGAAAUGAUUGGCCAAAUAGAGUAAACAAAAGUGAAGUGAUUCAUGUUCUUUUAUUACCUUAGGUAGAAAUUUCUUAGGAAAAAUCGAAUUUUAGAUUGGAAUAGUAAGAGUGAUAUGAUUGUUUCUUUUUUAAUUUAUGAAAAUGGUGGUGCACAUAUGGCAUGGACACUUGGGGUGGGAUAAAUUCUUUGUCUAGUACGAAUGCGAAAAACUUUAUAUUAUUAUUAUUAUUUAGGUGCUUUAGAACAGGACAGAUUUUGUCUUAAGCAUAAAAUGUGUUGGGCAACAUUUUCUUUUUUCUGGGGCGGGUGGGCCACGUGGUCGUCUUCAUCGAGUUGGAUUUUUUUGUAUUCUCUAUUACUGUACAUACUUAGUGUCAUCAAUAUAAACCCUUAGUCAAUAUUCUUUUUUGCAUUUUAUUUCUCAUGUCUUUUGAGUUCAUCUAAAUCAAGUGUGUGAAUUGUUGUGCGAUUCUAACAACUAGUAUAGAGUUGGAAGAUACUCACCAAGAUCUUUUAAAAUGAAAAACUCAAAUAUUAGAAUUGAGAAGUUUGAGAUUCGAUUUCGAUUUUUUUUUUAAGAUUAUCUGUACUAGAAAUAUCUUUACGAACUCCUGUCUGAGGUGAAUCUGUAUAUCAUGACCAUAGAACCGUGGAAGUAUAAUGAUAGACUCUAGGGUUGGUCUGGUUGACGCUGUCUAAAAGCGUAGCGUUCAACAUCAUCAAAGAGAAUACAACGUCGGAUAUAUUGACAACGUUGUCGAAUAUAUACAGAAAAAUCAUCGAUUAUAAACAAGAUGUACUCGAUAAAUCUACAAAUGUAUGAAGAUGGGACUACAUCCACAAACGUUUUAGAAAGUUCCUUUUGAACAGUAUUUUGUGAAAAAGGACAGAAAAGUUAGUUUAUAGGAAAAAAAAAAAAACAUCCAAGUACCAAUUUAAUAAUUCUGUAUUUGCCGCCAAAUUACUCUGGUAGUAAUUUCUAUAAUUAGUAAUAAUUCCAGACAGCUUCUUCAUCAAGCUUAUAUAAGUAAGGAGGAUAUAAGAAAAGCAAUAAAAAGAACUUGAUGUGUCUCUUUACAUCAAAUCUAGAUUAUUUUAUUUUAUUUUCUGAAAUUCAUUGCUAUAGCUUGUAGAAUCUAUUUUAAAAUGUUAGUUUUAUCAUAUAUUCUUCAUUAAAUAUGAUUUUAUUAUUAAUCUUUUUUUAUAGGUGGAAUCGCUCUAAAUUAUUAUUAUUAUUAUUUUAUUUUUUUUAGAAAAAAAUAUCAACUGCAAUACCUCCUUAUUGUCUUUGAUUCUUAAGUAUAUUACUACAUCAUCUCUUAUCAACAUACGAAUAUAUCUUUAAAAAAAGAACUUAAAUAGUAAGAUGAAAGUGUGAAUACAAACAAACACUUAAUAGGACAUCAUAACAUCAUCAACAACAUUUCAUUAGAAGUUCUUGUCUUUUCUUCAAUCCAUUUUAUGUGUUACUUGUAACCGUAGUAGGCGUGAGAUCUCAUGUGGGUUGGAGAGGGGAACAAAACAUUCCUUAUAAGAGUAUAGAAAUCUCUUCUUAGCAAACACCUUAUAAAACUGUGAGGUUGAUGACGAUACGUAACGGACUAAAA